rnacentral:lncRNA from 1 species
AGCGUUGUGCAAGCAGGCUCUGGAGACCCGCAGGCUCCUGGGCAGAGGGCUGCCUUCUGUGUGGGCUUGCCCCUCGCCACACCUGGCCAGGAGCCUCCCCCAGCCCCGUGACCCUUGUGUCAGAGCCUGGCCAGAUGACAGACGGCCUGGGGUGCAGGCGAGACCCACUGAACUGGCAGCUGAGGACAGGUCCAGGCCCAGUGGCUGGGGGACUUCUCAGAGCAGGUACCACAACAGCUACCCAAGGACUCAGGACUUUUCUCCCACAGCCAGACUUGGUGAUUGCAUGAAGGAGCCCAGCCUCGGAUGACCUUUCCCCGUGACAAGGCACUAGGAGAGCACAGACCUCCCCACACAAACACUGAGACACCCAACCUUGCGUGACCUUGAGCCAAACACAACUCUUAGGAUGUAACCUGCUUUACAAGAUGAGAAAGACACGAGUAAAAACAUCAGCAGACUCUGGAAGAGUCAGUAAACAAACAAGCUGUCCUUGGAGCAAGCAAGCGCUUCCCUUUCGGCAUCUCCCCCUCUCUGAGCGGCAGCCCUGCAAGUGAGGCCAAUAGCCGUCCCUCAGCUGUGUACAGGACAGGCAUUCUUGGACCUCAGAGUCCUGCAGUAGCAUUUUGAGGACGCCAAGUUAUUGAUGGGGACAGGUGCUCAUAAUUCAGCAUAACCCACCCAAGCCGUGUUUCACUUUUUCUGGAAACCUCUUGAUUUAGGAAUGAAAGCCCCUGGCUCCCCCUGGGCUGGGCUGGCCAGUAAACAUCUCAGUCUGAGUUUGCCGAGGUGGGUUGCUAAAUUUAAUUGCCAGUUUCCACACCAUGUGAUGGUGUGUGACAGGCCAGCUCACCCUGUGAGUUAGCCAAGGGGUUUUAAAUAAAUGCUUUCUGACGGAAAGGAUGAUAAAGGUUCCUAUUAUUCACCAGUGAGCCUGGAGACUGAGCUGGUCCGGUUUUUACGACUGAGGCACAGCAAUGUCAAUCUCAUGCUCUCUGUCACUACUUCCCACUGUGGCUUGACUAGGACAGCCUUAAGCGGCCUGCAGAAAGAGCUCCAGCCGGGUAGUCAGGAGACCUUUGCCAGCCCGAUCCGUCCAAGGUUUCUGUGACCUUGGAAGGCAAAUAGCUCUAUGGGCCAGCGUCAGCCUCUGCGUCUGCAGAGAGGAGUGCUUCACAGGUCAUGCUUGGGGCUUUCAGGAAGCAUGUAAUAGAUAUGCAAAGGCAUUGCUGUUGGUGAAACAUCCGUGGAACACCAGGCAACAAACCACUAAAAGCAGCAUUUUUCUUGCUCCGAUCCUUUAAAAUAUCGAUGGAGAUAAACUGAUGCUGCUAUUUGUGUUUUCCUUGACUAUUUCCUUACGAAGCCCUGCAGUCACCGAAUGCUCACUCAACCUUCCUUCAAAAGUGAUUCAACGUGUGGCCUGAGAAGCGGCAGCAUCAGCCUCACCUGGGCGUUGGUGAGAACGGCAGCAUCUUGGCCUCUCCUGCUGAAUCAGAGCGCGCUGCUUAACACGCUCCCGGGUGACUCGUACGUAGUCAGUGCUGGGAAGCGCUGGUCUACAGUCAUGUUUCUCAAGCUUGAAUGCACAUCCGAAUCCCCCGGAAGGUUUGCUAAAGCCUUGCUGGGCCCCACCCCCACGUUUCUGAUUCAGCAGGCGAGCUGGUGGAUUCAACUGGGACUCAGAAGACUGCACUUGAGGAGAUCAUCGUGAGUUGAAGAUCUCUUGCUUAGUCUCGCAGAAACUUCAUCAAGUCUAGCUCACCUGGGAGUCAGUUGGUGCCGGCGAAUCAAUUCGUGCCAGUGAAAUUCACCAAGAGCCUGAUUUACAAACUAGAGAGCCAUGGCCUUAAUUUUAGAGCAAAAGACAAACUUUUCCAAUGAAUAUAGUUUUCUUGUCCAAUAGCUAGGACACCCCCCUCCACCUGCUGUGUACUAAUGAAGCAGAUUUUUUUUUUUGAGUUUUGCUCUUGUUGCCCGGCUGGAGUGCAAUGACACCAUCUUGGCUCACCACAACCUCCACCUCCGGUUUCAAGUGAUUCUCCUGCCUCAGCCUCCCAAGUAGCUGGGAUUACAGGCAUGUGCCACCAUGCCUGGCUAAUUUUGUAUUUUUAGUAGAGACGGGGUUUCUCCAUGUUGGCCAGACAGGUCUCGAACUCCCAACCUCAGGUGAUCCACCCGCUUUGGCCACCCAAAGUACUGGGAUUACAGGCGUGAGCCACAGCGCCCGGCCAAUGAAGCAGAAUUUUUAGCCAGAUGUGUGUGAUACACCAAACCAAAGUGAAAGGAAUUGAAUGACCCUGGAACUUGCUUCAUCUGAUAGGAUGCAUUAGAUAGAGGCUGAUAGAAUAUCUCUUCCCAGAUGGUGAAUAAACUUUUUCUAGUGACCAACAUGUUUAUGUUCGCUAAACACAAUGUCUUUCUGCUUUGACAGUGCUGGAAGUAACUAUUCUUAACUUCGUCCGCUCUUUUGGCACCCCCGGAGGCUCAGGCCCCUGCUCUUUGCCCAUAGUGACAAGAUGAUGCAUUAUUUGUGGUUAAUCCCAUUUAAGAAGGGCUGCUUCCUAAAGGUAUCUAAGAAAAGACCUUAAUUUCCUUAGUCCUAGAAGUGUGCGAAGCACCCAGUGGCUUAGUUUCUAGUCCCAGCUCUGCCACAUCCUAGCUGGUGUCCUUGUACAGAAUUACUUCACUUCUACAAGCCUCAGUUUCUUCAUUUGUAACCUACUUACUUCUGGUUAAAGGUUGAUCAUCAUGUAGAUAAAAAAUACAAGGCCAGGUGCGGUAGCUCACGCCUGUAAUCCCAGCUCUUGGGGAGGCCAAGGUGUGCAGAUCACAAGGUUAGGAGUUCGAGAUCACCCUGGCCAAUAUGGUGAAACACCAUCUCUACUAAAAAUACAAAAAUUAGCCUGGUGUGGUGGCUGGUGCCUGUAGUUUCAGCUACUCAGGAGUCUGAAGCAGGAGAAUCGCUUGAACCCAGGAGGCAGAGGUUGCAGUGAGCUGAGAUCGCCCCACCGCACUCCAGCCUGGGUGACAGUGCGAGACUCCAUCUCAAAACAAUCAAACAAACAAACAUAUAUAUAUAUAUAUAUAUAUAUAUAUGGGUCGGGCACUGUAGCUCAUACCUGUAAUCCCAGCUCUUUGGGAGGCCAAGGUGGGUGGAUCCCUUGAGCCCAGGAGUUCAAGACCAGCCUGGCCAAACCCCAUCCCUACAAAAAAUACAAAAAUUAACCCAGCGUGGUGGUGUGUGCCUGUGGUCCCAGCUACUUGAGAAGUUGAGGUGAGAGAAUCACUAGAGCCUGGGAGGUUGAGGCUGUAGUGAGCUGUGUUCAUGCCACUGCACUCCAGCCUGGGCAACAGAAUGAAACCCUGUUUCAAAAAAAAAUACUUUAUAGCAACAGAAGGGAACCCUCAUGGAAACUAUGGACUUUGGGUGAUAAUGACAAAUCUGUGUAGAUUCAUUGAUUGUAAGAAAUGUGCCAUUCUGGUGAGGGUUGUUGAUAAGGGGUGCG